CAGGUGGUGCAUGGUUGUCGUCAGCUCGUGUCGUGAGAUGUUGGGUUAAGUCCCGCAACGAGCGCAACCCUUGAUCUUAGUUGCCAGCAUUCAGUUGGGCACUCUAAGGUGACUGCCGGUGACAAACCGGAGGAAGGUGGGGAUGACGUCAAAUCAUCAUGCCCCUUAUGACCUGGGCUACACCCGUGUUCCAAUGGACAGAACAAAGGGCAGCAAAACCGGGAGGUUAAGCCAAUCCCACAAAUCUGUUUUCAGUUCGGAUCGCAGUCUGCAACUCGACUGCGUGAAGCUGGAAUCGCUAGUAAUCGCGGAUCAGCAUGCCGCGGUGAAUACGUUCCCGGGCCUUGUACACACCGCC
rnacentral:rRNA from 1 species